GAUGAACGCUAGCGGCAGGCUUAAUACAUGCAAGUCGAGGGGCAGCAUGAUUGUAGCAAUACAAUUGAUGGCGACCGGCAAACGGGUGCGGAACACGUACACAACCUUCCAACAAGUGGGGGAUAGCCCAGAGAAAUUUGGAUUAAUACCCCGUAACAUAGCGAUGUGGCAUCACAUUGCUAUUAUAGAUUUUUCGCUUGUUGAUGGGUGUGCGGCUGAUUAGAUAGUUGGCGGGGUAACGGCCCACCAAGUCUACGAUCAGUAGCUGAUGUGAGAGCAUGAUCAGCCACACGGGCACUGAGACACGGGCCCGACUCCUACGGGAGGCAGCAGUAAGGAAUAUUGGACAAUGGACGCAAGUCUGAUCCAGCCAUGCCGCGUGAAGGAUUAAGGUCCUCUGGAUUGUAAACUUCUUUUAUUUGGGACGAAAAAAGGGAAUUCUUUCCCACUUGACGGUACCAAGUGAAUAAGCACCGGCUAACUCCGUGCCAGCCGCCGCCGUAACAC
rnacentral:rRNA from 1 species